GACUCUCCAAGUCGGGAGAGUGUUAGUAAAGCGUCUGGAAUGUUGCACCCGAGUACCAGGGGACGAAAACUGAGACAUAUUUGAACACGUCUCCCGAUCACAUGGUUGAUCAUACUCUGGGUUCCACAUGCAUGUUUUAGCUGAAGGAAGAAUACCUUAAACCUGGGUAGUUGAGACCCGUGGAAUGGGUACCAUGCAAUAUGAAUUCAAAGGGUCUUCAUUUGCUCACCGAACCUCUCCAAUCCUAUCACUGCUGCGUUUAUGCCCCUGUACACAUGCUUGAUUCUCUUUCGGAGACAUAGCAAUC